UUCAUUAGUUCAGUAUGAGGUGAUUUUAGGGCAGAUUUGUCCUGGGUAGCAGAGCUUAGCCUUUGCUGAGUUUUCCAGCUCCUAAACUUCAUCCCUUCCUAAAUUCUUUGCUGGAACACUGUUUCCUCUGGGACUAGGACACUUUGAAUUCCCUUGCUCCAUGCCUUCUGAAAGCUAAAGAUGAGCAGGUUUUUCAACUCUGUCAGCAUACCAAAGGAAUAUUUCUUCAUGCUUUUGGUCAUGAUCUUAUGUGGACUUUGAUGACAGGCAGCCUGAGGGUCCACGGUGGGAGCUGCCUAAAGAAAGACUAUGAUGAUUUCAGAAGACAGCCCAAUCAUGAUAAAUUUACUAGAACUGUGGACUACUGAAUACGGUGAAGGAGAUCUUGCAUAAGAAUCUCCUGAAGUAGAAAUUGGGAGCAAGUCUGUAGAUAGCAAAGAACCUCUAGAUUCUGUAAGAAGAUCAUUUUGAAGAGGAUCAUUUUGAUUCAGAUAGGCCAUCACGCUGUUUUUAAAUCAACACUAACAGCACAAUGAGGAAUUUUAGUGUCGUUCCCUGGUGACUCAGAUGGCAAAGAAUCUGUCUGCUAUUCAAGAGAUCCAGAUUCAGUCCCUUGGUCAGGAAGAUCCCCUGGAGAAGGGAAUGGCAACAAACUCCAGCAUUCUUGCCUGGUGAAUUCUGUGCACAGAGGAGCGUGGCAGCCUACAGCCCAUGGGGUUGCAGAGAGUUGGACAUGGCUAAGCAACUAACACACACACAGGCAUUCAAACUCUUUAAAUCAACACUAAAGCACAAAGAGAUAUUUUAGUGUCUUUUGUGGAGGUAAAGGAAUAACCUGGUUAAUAAAGUUUAUUGAUUGGAGAAAUCUA